rnacentral:rRNA from 1 species
CGAAGUCCGUGAGCCAUGCGUCAAGAAAAGCCGCUAUUGUUUAUACCGUACCCGUACCGUAAACCGACACAGGUGGAUGAGGAGAGAAUCCUAAGGCCGGCGGAAGAAGCAUUGUCAAGGAACUCGGCAAAAUGGCCCCGUAACUUAGGGAUAAGGGGUGCCUCAGAAAUGAGGCCGCAGAGAAUAGGCUCAAGCAACUGUUUAGCAAAAACACAGGUCUAUGCGAAACCGAAAGGUGAGGUAUAUGGGCUGACGCCUGCCCGGUGCUGGAAGGUUAAGAGGAGAGGUUAGCGCAAGCGAAGCUUUGAAUUUAAGCCCCAGUAAACGGCGGCCGUAACUAUAACGGUCCUAAGGUAGCGAAAUUCCUUGUCGGGUAAGUUCCGACCCGCACGAAAGGCGUAAUGAUUUGAGCGCUGUCUCGACAAUGCAUCCGGUGAAAUUGAAGUACCAGUGAAGAUGCUGGUUACCUGCGCCAGGACGGAAAGACCCCAUGGAGCUUUACUCCAGUUUGGUACUGGGACUCGGUAUUGCAUGUACAGGAUAGGUGGGAGGCUAGGAGAUAGUAACGCCAGUUAUUAUGGAGCCGCUGUUGGGAUACCACCCUUGCAGUAUUGGGUUUCUAACCAGCCGCCGUGACCCGGCGGUGGGACAAUGCCAGACGGGGAGUUUGACUGGGGCGGUCGCCUCCGAAAGGGUAUCGGAGGCGCCCAAAGGUUCCCUCAGAAUGGACGGAAACCAUUCGAAGAGUGCAAAGGCAGAAGGGAGCUUGACUGCGACACCGACGGGUGGAGCAGGUACGAAAGUAGGGCUUAGUGAUCCGGUGGUAUUAAGUGGGAAUGCCAUCGCUCAACGGAUAAAAGCUACCCUGGGGAUAACAGGCUUAUCACUCCCAAGAGUUCACAUCGACGGAGUGGUUUGGCACCUCGAUGUCGGCUCAUCGCAUCCUGGGGCUGUAGUAGGUCCCAAGGGUUGGGCUGUUCGCCCAUUAAAGCGGUACGCGAGCUGGGUUCAGAACGUCGUGAGACAGUUCGGUCCCUAUCCGGCGUGGGCGUAGGAUAUCUGAGAGGAGCUGUCCUUAGUACGAGAGGACCGGGAUGGACGGGCCGCUGGUGCAUCGGUUAGACUGCCAAGUCUACGGCCGAGUAGCCAAGCCCGGAAGGGAUAAACGCUGAAGGCAUCUAAGCGUGAAGCCCCCCUUAAGAUGAGAUAUCCCAUUCGAAAGAAGUAAACCCCCUUGAAGACGACGAGGUAGAUAGGGCAGAGGUGGAAGUGCAGUAAUGCAUGGAGCUGACUGUUACUAAUCGGGUGAGGGCUUGACCAAGAA